rnacentral:rRNA from 1 species
AUGGAAAGCUUGCUGCAUUGGGAUUUUGCCCUGGGCCUUGCCCUUGCAGACCAGGUGAGAAGGAUAUUUGGGUCCACUGUUCAUUUCUCUCCUUCCCGAGAUGCCAAAGAGUUCUUUUUGGUCGUUUCCUUCUCCUCGGCCUCCUUUCCUCUUGAUGUUGAAACAGUGGGGAUUGCCUUGCAAUGCUGUCUUGGAGGGAUUUCUUCUGGUUUCAGGGUGUCUCAGAUUAAUGCCCGGUCCUUUCACUUCUCUGUGGCUAAUAAUAAAGUGGGACAUUUUGUCUAUGGUCUCAAAGACCGUAUUUGGCCUGACUUUGUUUGCCAUUUCCAUCUGUUCAAUGGACGUUUUGCUAAAGCUCAUUCUAUUGAUCGCCAUUGGCAUGCUGAUACUGAGUUGGUUGAAAUCGUGGACCGAAAACCCAUUGCUCUAAAAUCCUCUCUGAAGUUUCUUACUCCCAAAGGAGACUUGGAUCAUUCUUCUAUGAAAGUUCUUAGCAAAUUUGGGCUUAUUAAGAUGGAUAACUGGAAUUUUUCCAAAAAAAUGCCAUGA